UACGGGAGGGUGCAAGCGUUAUCCGGAUUCACUGGGGUUUAAAGGGUGCGUAGGCGGGUCGGGUAAGUCUGAUGUGAAAUCUCACAGCUUAACUGUGAAACUGCAUUGGAUACUAUCCGGCUCGAGGAAUGGAGGGGAGACUGGAAUACUUGGUGUAGCAGUGAAAUGCGUAGAUAUCAAGUGGAACACCAGUGGCGAAGGCGAGUCUCUGGACAUUUCCUGACGCUGAGGCACGAAAGCCAGGGGAGCAAACGGG
rnacentral:rRNA from 1 species